rnacentral:rRNA from 1 species
GACAGAGGGUGCAAACGUUGCUCGGAAUUACUGGGCGUAAAGCGCGUGUAGGUGGAUUGGUGUGUCAGAUGUGAAAGCCCUGGGCUCAACCCAGGAACUGCACCUGAAACUACCAGUCUUGAGUGGUGGAGAGGGAAGUGGAAUUCCUGGUGUAGAGGUGAAAUGCGUAGAUAUCUGGAGGAACACCGGUGGCGAAGGCGGCAUCCUGGACCAACACUGACGCUGAGGAGCGAAAGCCAGGGGAGCAAACGGG